AGAGUUUGAUCCUGGCUCAGGACGAACGCUGGCGGCGUGCCUAACACAUGCAAGUCGAGCGGAGAUAAGCGGAUGGUAACUGAAGUUUGUCUUAGCGGCGGACGGGUGAGUAACACGUGGGCAACCUGCCUUGGAGUGGGGGAUAACACCGGGAAAUCGGUGCUAAUACCGCAUAACAUACACAAACUGCAUGGUAAGUGUAUCAAAGGAGCAAUCCGCUUUAAGAUGGGCCCGCGGCUGAUUAGCUAGUUGGUAAGGUAACGGCUUACCAAGGCGACGAUCAGUAGCCGACCUGAGAGGGUGACCGGCCACACUGGAACUGAGACACGGUCCAGACUCCUACGGGAGGCAGCAGUGGGGAAUAUUGCGCAAUGGGGGGAACCCUGACGCAGCAACGCCGCGUGGAGGAAGAAGGUCUUCGGAUUGUAAACUCCUGUCUUCUGGGACGAAGUAUGACGGUACCAGAGGAGGAAGCCACGGCUAACUACGUGCCAGCAGCCGCGGUAAUACGUAGGUGGCGAGCGUUGUCCGGAAUUACUGGGCGUAAAGGGCGCGUAGGCGGCUUUUUAAGUUAGAUGUGAAAACCCGGGGCUUAACUUCGGGCGUGCAUUUAAAACUGGAGAGCUUGAGUGCAGGAGAGGUAAGUGGAAUUCCUAGUGUAGCGGUGAAAUGCGUAGAUAUUAGGAGGAACACCAGUGGCGAAGGCGACUUACUGGACUGUAACUGACGCUGAGGCGCGAAAGCGUGGGGAGCAAACAGGAUUAGAUACCCUGGUAGUCCACGCUGUAAACGAUGGAUACUAGGUGUGGGAGGUAUCGACCCCUUCCGUGCCGCAGUUAACGCAAUAAGUAUCCCGCCUGGGGAGUACGGCCGCAAGGUUGAAACUCAAAUGAAUUGACGGA
rnacentral:rRNA from 1 species